rnacentral:rRNA from 1 species
UACGGGGGGGGCAAGCGUUGUUCGGAAUUACUGGGCGUAAAGGGCUCGUAGGCGGCCAACUAAGUCGGAUGUGAAAUCCCCAGGCUUAACCUGGGAACUGCAUCCGAUACUGGAUGGCUUGAAUCCGGGAGAGGGAUGCAGAAUUCCAGGUGUAGCGGUGAAAUGCGUAGAUAUCUGGAGGAAUACCGGUGGCGAAGGUGGCAUCCUGGACCGGCAUUGACGCUGAUGAGCGAAAGCUAGGGGAGCAAACGGG